rfam:Brachypodium distachyon strain Bd21 chromosome 4, whole genome shotgun sequence.
CAUGUACUCCCUCCGAUCCUAAAUUCCUGUCUCAAAUUUGUCCAAAUAUGAAUGUAUCUAUUCUUAAAAAGUGUCUAGAUACAUGUAAUAUUUUGACAACAAUUUAGGAUCGGAGGGAGUACAAG